ensembl:lncRNA
UAACUCUACUAAUGAUAUUAAUGUAGCUUCAUCUGACACGGAGCACAAACACCAGCUUUAAACAGAAUGAACAGACUAUUAAUAGAAACAUUGUUAGUCUUUCUAAUGACUCUUUAAUACCGGAUUAUAAAACAGAACCUGGAGUCCAAGCUGGCAUCUUGUUGGGAAUACGUCCAGGAGCAGAAGGCGAGCCGCAGGGGCCACGCUGCUGGAUCGGGGGCCACGCCGGGCCGGAACAUCUCCUCAGAGAGCCAUCAACCCACCAACGGCCUCUACAGCAAGGGGCUGGUGACGAGGUUGGACUUCGGAGCAGGACCCAAGCUGCUGCUGUGAACGUGAAGACGUCCGUCCAGCCUGGAUUCAUCUUUGUGUUGCACGUCGUACGGACUUCUCUCUGAGAAAAUGGAUGUUUGCUUCGGAUACUUUUUGGAUGUCUGUCACCAGCUCGAGUCUGCAGUCGGAGAUGUUUAUUCAACUAACCUACUGGACUUAAGCUGCCGGUCACGUCACCUUUCUGCAACUCUUUUGGUGUUAUAAGUGUCGGCGUCAGUGGAGAGACGCUAACGGAUGAUGCUUCACGUUGGGACGAAGACGCAUCCACUCAAGGUGAAAAUGUUUGAAGUUACAGGGGAAAAUCCUUUAUCUUAAAGUGUAUUACUCCCAUGCAUGACGGGGUUUCCUCCCAUCGGUCUGGAGGGCAAUGAGAAAGAAUAACUCCGGGUGUCUGAGCUGUAGCGUGCACAUACAGGAAGUUGUUGCAGGAACAGCUUCAGGGGUCAAACCGAUCUUUAAAUACUUUAUAUUGUCACAAGUGUCGGUCUGAAGUGAAGGCUAAUUAUAGUCAAACACACCUUGUAGUCCUGAUAUCUUUAGAUUAUUACAGAUUACAGAAAAACAUGGACUUCAUCCGUCGUCACACAAUUAUCUGAAUUAGAAUUUAGAUUUUCUCACUUAAGGUUUCAAUGAACUGGGUUUAUUUAUCACUGACAGUCUUUAGAAGAAGUCAGAUAACUUAUUAAAAGCAUAAAGUUUAGCAGGGAAAAGAGUUUUGAUUGCAGAGUUUGUCGACAUCUAGUGGCCAUCGGUGGUUCUGCAUCUUAAAGCGUAAUUAAAACAUUGAAGUUUAAAUAAUAAUGAAGUCGUAUUUUCGUCGCUUCAUGUAACUCCGAGUGCUUCUGGUUUACGGCUCAUUAAACCUCAAGUGUUUUCUCAAGAUGAUCAGCAAAGCUUCUCUGAUGCAAACACAAUGAACUGAUCCGAGUCCUUUGGUAUUUGCUGAUACAGAUACUUAUAUUCACCUAAAUGACACCUCUGCCCCCUCGCUCCCAACUCUACAACCUGAAAAUACGAUGACAUAGAAUGUAAGUCAAAUACUUUUAUACAUAGACAUGCGUAGGAUUGAUUAAAGGAGUAUUCCACCCACAAACGGACCCUCUGUACGUCAGGUACUUCUGGUGUUUCUGGGGCUUCUUGAAGUCCUGAUGAAGUGAUGUAAAUGAACAGAACACCAUCUGUUUGCAAACACAACUCGUGCAGAACAAUAAAGUCUCAUUGAUCCAGCUCAUGUCACUACUUCACACACACACACUUUAAAUAAAGCUGCACUAUUUAAAAGGUGUUAGUGAAAAGUAUACAGCAAGGAGCGUUUUUAACAUGAAGCGUUGCCGUAUGUUGUUUGUUGUGUCCAAUACUUUGAUAUUAUGCGUUAAAAUGAAGACGAGCUGAGUCGUCUGCAGAACUACUUCUGUCUCGGGAGUGAAAUAGGAAACGUCUUCUGUUCGCAGGAGAUAUGAAUCCUUCAGUGAAGGCUACUUGUGUUUUAUGUUAAAAAGAAGAAGUAAUGUUUGACUUGUUAAAUACUGUAGACGGUCAGUCAGUCCUGCCUUCAGACCUACAAUCAGCUGCUCAGGGCAGACUGCACCGUAACACUUUAAUAACCAUCGUUAAUCCACGGGGGGGAACUGGUGGUGAAUCCAACGUUAACUUAUUUUACCAGUGACAAAGUAAUGUUUACAAAUCAUCAUAAUAAUAAUAAUAAUAAUAAUAAUAAACUAUUUAUAGAGCAUUUUUAAUACAAGAGACGCUCAAAGUGCUUUACAAACUAAUUAAAAUGCAACGCGUACACAAAAAAAGGGUAAAAAUAAUAACAAUAUUAAAAAUAAUAAUUAGAGAUUUUGUUAACAUAAAAAUAAUGACUUUAUUUAUAAACCAAAUUAUUUAAUUGUGCUUAAAAAAAGAUCUGAGAGCUCGUGAAGGUUUAUUGUUGCAGACGUAACUUUUAAUAUUUUAUAAAGUAUUAUUAAUUAAAGUUUGUAAACAUUAUUUUGAUGCAUAUUAUAAAAUUGCAACAGAUGAUUCUAAUAAAUUAAAUAAAAAAUAAUCUAUAAACAUUUCGAGCGAUAGUUAUAAUUAGUUUCUGGGCUAUUAUAGUUUACUGUAAUUAUCCUCUAAGAACCUUUAAUACAUGCAUAUAUCAUUUAGAAGCAAUUUUAUAUAACAAACUAAUAAUAUAACAAAUCAUAGCAAAGAAAACAGUAAACUUGUUUGUUAAUGAACGAUCAGACCUUUAAUUAAUGAUGGUUAUUAUGAAGUGUUUCCAUCGUUUGUGUGUUCUCACCUGCUCUUCGUCCUUCAGUGCUGCUUAUGUUUCUGAAAUCAAUAAACUUGAAAUGUAAAAUCUAAAUGUUGAUUUUGUUUCUUCUAGACGCAAAGAAUCCAGGCGACACAUCAGUGAGGGUUGCGUAGCAGUUUAAUAGAUGUCAGAGUUAUAUAUUGUGUUUCUGUGAGGUUUAAAUCACCGUCGGGUCACAAAUAUAGUUUUACAUUCAGUUUCCAAAUAAAUAUUUUAAAACAUGUUCUGCAGAAACAGCGAGCAGCGAAGCAUUUCUUUUCCUGAGAAAUAUACGAAACUUGCUGCUCAUCUGAACGUAUUUAUUGAUUUUCUUUAUUUUUUUUAUGUCUUUUCCAGCGAUUUUGGAUGAGAAAUAUUUCAUCUGCAUUUAAAAAGAUUAUUUUCUUACGAGUUUACUCUUUAAAAAAUAUAUUAAUCAUCAUUAAUUUUCUUCCCGAUAUUUUACAUUUUCAUACAAAAUAAUAUUUUGCUUGUGUUUUACAAAAAUAUUUUAUUUUGCAACAGAUGUUUGUUUCUUAAUCUUAAUAUUUAGAAUAUUUAGUUUUGGUAACUGACUGGGUUUUUGUUUUUGCUUUGUGACUUAAAUGCAAAAGCACAAACAAACUUAGAAAAUAUAAUAUUUAAACUACCUCUAAUAUAAAUAAAUCUAAAUAUAUUAAAUUCACAUAAAUUAUAUGUUCUGUUAAUCCACAAAGAUUGAAAAACAAUGAUUAGUUUCUCUAGAAAAAUUAAACUGGGAAUCACAUGCUGACUUUUAUUUUGAAAAUCAUUUUGUCGGUUUAAAUUUAUUUAUGCAUCAUAAUUAUUUUCUUAAAUAGUGAGAUUUAUUUCCCCAAAUAAAGGAAUCCAGCUGAUGAUUGUGGGACUUUGUUAAAUAUUUGUAGAUUAAGCUGGCAGACCUGCACGUGUCCUUAUAAUUCUAUUUUAGAGCCAAUUGUUGGGUAUUUUCAAAAGUUUACUUUUAAGGUUAAACGUAUAUAUUAAACCUCAAAAUGAGUGAUGUGUGUAGCUGAUGUUUGUUUAAUAACUUUUAGGAACAGUGCAUUAAAGCUGGCGAUAAACACCAAAACUAUCCACUGAUAAUCAAACCGUAGUGCUAAUGUCCUGGGAACUUCAAUUCCCAGAAUGCAUUGAGCUUUGAUUUUUGAUAAAUGUAGAAAUAAGAAUCUUACUUUUAGAUUUCGGAUACAUUCAGCUUUACUGCACAAAGGUUCCUGAAUGUGUUCAAACUGGCUGAAGUCUUUUGCAUAGCAACAGUCGCUGAGGCUCAUGGGUAAUGUAGUAUUUGAAGCAAUUUCACCAAACAUUAUUGUAUUGUAUAGAGCUACAACUAAAGACUUUUUUAAUUUCUUGAUUAUUUAAUCUUUCACAUUCUUAUUGUUAUACGUGUAGAAUAUUGCCAUG